rnacentral:rRNA from 1 species
CAACCUGCCUAUAACUAGGGAAUAACCUUGCGAAAGUAAGACUAAUACCCUAUGAUUUCCUUUGAUGACAUCAGAUUAGGAAUAAAGAUUUAUCGGUUAUAGACGGGGAUGCGUCUGAUUAGCUUGUUGGCGGGGUAACGGCCCACCAAGGCAACGAUCAGUAGGGGUUCUGAGAGGAAGGUCCCCCACAUUGGAACUGAGACACGGUCCAAACUCCUACGGGAGGCAGCAGUGAGGAAUAUUGGUCAAUGGGCGGAAGCCUGAACCAGCCAAGUAGCGUGCAGGAUGACGGCCCUAUGGGUUGUAAACUGCUUUUAUACAGGAAUAAAGUUAGCCACGUGUGGUUAUUUGUAGGUACUGUAUGAAUAAGGACCGGCUAAUUCCGUGCCAGCAGCCGCGGUAAUACGGAAGGUCCAGGCGUUAUCCGGAUUUAUUGGGUUUAAAGGGAGCGUAGGCCGUCUGUUAAGCGUGUUGUGAAAUGUAGAUGCUCAACAUCUGAAUUGCAGCGCGAACUGGCAGACUUGAGUGUGCGCAACGUAGGCGGAAUUCGUGGUGUAGCGGUGAAAUGCUUAGAUAUCACGAAGAACUCCGAUUG